UGGGGCGGCAGGUAGCCUAGUGGUUAGAGCGUUGGACUUGUAACCGAAAGGUUGCAAGAUCGAAUCCCAGAGCUGACAAGGGGUAAAUCAGGUCAAAUUGGACUGCAGCGAGAGAGACAGUGACACAAUUUGAGAUGUGGCCGUUACACGUGUCAUGAACGAUUGAGAAUUACUAUGAAGGGACCACUGAUCUCGACAUUGAAGCAACAUUCGUAGGAGGGCAGAGAAAUUCACAAUUCAGGCAGCGUCCAGGCCUCCACUGAGUAUUCGCCAUUCGUCUAGUGUACGGAUGGGAGCUGCAGCUGUUGACUGAGGGUUACCUCGGUGGAAGCCAACAAUCUUCUCCAGUUGGAGCAGUUGGACGGUCGACCACUGAAAGCCCUGACGCUCCCUACACUUUUGGUGAAGCCCAUGGGACAAAGUAUGUCAAAGCUAACCAAUGGGUCACUGGACCAUCCCUUACCUCCCUCAAACCCUGCUGACGUAAAAAGAAUUACAGACAGGACCUAGGGGGUUCUGCUUAAUACCCAGACAUGGAUCCACCGGAUGUCCUCCAUUACCAACCACCCUCCAACUUUUCAUUACAU